AUGUAAAAUACAUGUAUAAGUAAGCAAUGAAUGUGGUUGUUUAUAAUCUUGUAUAUGCUUUUUUGUGCUACUUGUUUACUAUUUGUUUGUUUAUGUUCUGAUUGAGAUUGUGAUACGGUGAUCACUGUUGUACCUCUUUUUGACAAUUUUACCUAUUACUUUAUAUACCACCCAUGUAAAUUGAGUUUACACAUUUUGCUAUUUAGGAGAUAGCUAUAUUGUAUUUUAAGUUCCAACUGCAUCAAUUGGUGAUUUGAUGGUCGCAAAUUAAGCAUGUUAAGUGUACUGACGACGCG
rnacentral:lncRNA from 1 species